rnacentral:misc_RNA from 1 species
AAGUCGUAACAAGGUUUCCGUAGGUGAACCUGCGGAAGGAUCAUUAACACGUAUCCAACGUUAAACACCCUGUGAACUUUCAACCUCUGUCCAUCAGGCUACAAUCGAGCUAGGAGCAGUGGCAUGGUUUCCCUAAGCAGUGCAGAAGGAUCCACUGAGUAAGGAUAACGCCUCACGGUUGCCAGAGGUCGAUCACCGGCCGGCAGACAUGUCACAGGGCUAUAUGCCCCCUCAUUCACACCUUGCCCUAUCUGGCCCCACGGAAACGUUGGGGCACAAACCGAACAACUGUUAACAAUGGAUAUCUUGGUUCUC